UAUUGACUAGUGAGAAUGAUACACGUUGGACUUCCAAUUCAAAGGUCGUGGGUUUGAAUCCCCCAAUGAUAG